rnacentral:tRNA from 1 species
GGGGCUGUGACUCAGUGGUAGAGCACUCGCCUAGUGUGUGUGUGAGGCCUUAGGUUCGAUCCUCAGCACCA